CGCGUAGGCGGUCCCGCACGUCGGAGGUGAAAUCCCCGGGCUCAACCCGGGAGCUGCCUCCGAUACGGCGGGGCUUGAGUCCGGGAGAGGGGAGCAGAAUUCCCAGUGUAGCGGUGAAAUGCGUAGAUAUUGGGAGGAAUACCGGUGGCGAAGGCGGCUCCCUGGACCGGUACUGACGCUGAGGCGCGAAAGCGUGGGUAGCAAACAGGAUUAGAUACCCUGGUAGUCCAGCCGUAAACGAUGAACACUUGGUAUAGCGGGUAUCGAACCCCGCUGUGCCGGAGCUAACGCGUUAAGUGUUCCGCCUGGGGAGUACGGUCGCAAGGCUGAA
rnacentral:rRNA from 1 species